GUUUUAAUGUUUUAUUCUAAUAAUAAUUUUCUUCAAUCAUCACUACACUUUACUACCAUUUAUCAUCUACCAAUAUCAUCGUCACUACCACACUAUACCACCAUCGCUGCCACUUCAUUUCCACCACCAUUUUCUCACUGGUGCCAUCAACGCAACCAUAAUCACUGUUAUUAGCAGCAUCACCACCAUUAGAACCACACAAAUUACCAUUCCCAUCACCACCACAGUAAACACCCUACUGCCUCCACCACUAACCACUGCCACGACAACCAUCAUUAUCACCAUCAUGCUACUGAUAACACCAUCAUCAUAACUCUUUUAUCCCAACCAAUUCUUAAUUAUUUUCCAAAUUAACUAAUACUAUAUUAUAAAUGAUAUUAUUAAGUUUAUAAUAUAUUUAUAAAUGACAUUACUAUGUUUACAAUUUUUAAUUUUAAAAUAUCAAAACUUACUAAUUCAGUUACAUUUCAACACAAAAAUUAUUAAGC
rnacentral:misc_RNA from 1 species